UAAAACCUAAUCCUUUUUAUUUCCCUUCUCCUUCUCCGUCUCACGCCGACUCCCCUCACCCGCGCCCGAUUCUUCCCCUCUCUCCCGACGCCGCCUCUCCCUCGGCGUGGAGCGCCGACUGCCACCCUCUCCACCCGACUUCUCCUCCUCCCCUAUUCAUCGCCGACCUUUCCCGAGCCCCUCACGACUUCUCCUCUCUCGCGACGUCGAGCCACCGCCGAUUCCCCUCAUCUCCUCCCGAUCUCCCCCUCCUCUACUUGUUGUCGCCGACCUUCGCAGCUCGACGCCGACUGUUCGAGCCCCAACCCUGACACCACCGAUCAACAAGUGAGAUGCCUCUCCUUUCGUCGGCGUUGUUGGAAAGGGGAUUGAUCCCGAUCUCUCUGCUCCCUCGUUCGUGAUCUCACUGCAUCAGCGUCGUCCUCACCGUGCCCUAAGUCUUGAGCCCUAGCACCUCUGCACUCACUGCAUCUCGCAUUCGGUGUCUUACUUGGUGCUCAGCUUAGCAACACCAUUGUCGUCCAGUGCUUUGGAGCACUCGAUCGGUUGGAGACGAGAGGACGGACUCGAUCACUUUGUCGGACUUUAUCUUGUCCUCUUCAUCAGACCUAGAGUGGUGAGUUCUAUUUUCUUCAUGGCUGCACCCAGAUGCUUCAUCAAGCUACUGAAGAUCUGCAGAUUAGAUUAAGGACGGUGAUUCAAGGUGAGCGUCUCGACAUGAGAUUAAUUUAUCACGAUCGAUAGAUAAAGGCAUCAUGUAGAUAUUUGUGGAGUCACUUGGAGUAUCAUGUUUGCCGGUUCCUACGUCACAUCUGAAGACCUAUUUUCUGGUUUCUUUAGUACUUUGUUUGGUUUAUGUAUUCGGUGUAUUUAGCAUUGUAUAUUCUUGUUUUGUUUAUGGAGUGUUGUUAUGUGUUAUUUUAUGUUGUUUGUGGUUGUUGUAUAAAGCCUAGUCAGCUAGCAGUGUGUCGAUUUGAUUUGUAUGGGGUUUUCUCUAUCA